CAGUAUGCUUGGAGUUUACUCACAAAGUAGAAAUGGUUGUAACAGACAGCAAAAUUCAUCCACAAUAUCAAUAAAAUACUCAUGACAAAAAAAAAAA